rnacentral:lncRNA from 1 species
UGAGUUUAAGAGACUAAGAAGAGAGCCAUAUAAUUUGAAGUUCACAAAGAUGGUGAUCAACAAGCCAGCAGAAUUAUAGAUGGAGCUGUUCUGUGAGAAUACUCUGGGAAGGCCUGUAUAAAAAAGUCGAUGGCGGCAAGAAGACGGAACAUAAGGAAAGCUGGAAUAGCUGCUC